GUAAAACGAAAGGCGCCGCGCGAGUGAGCGAGCGACCUCACUCCCCCACAGACGUCACCGCUGUCGUAAACAGGAGGUGGGCCGGAGUGAGCGUUGAGCGGCGGCGGCGAUGGUGGUGACAUCUUCAGUUGUCGGCCUCUCAGUCUGAAGAUGGGUCUCGACCAGAAACAUCACCCAUUCCUUCUCUCCAGAGUUGCUGCCUGUCCCGCGCAGUUACUCCAACAUCUUGCGGCUACCUUCGAUAUAACAGGCGGAUGUGUGUUGUAUGAAACAGAAGGACUGCAAACACUAUCUGCUUGGAGAGUGGAGAAACAUAAACAAUCCUAAAUGCAUGGGAUAACCAACAAAAUGAUGAAUCACUAAACCUGCCAGUUAAUUUAUUUCAGAGGCGAUCUGGCAGAGGUACAUAAUAGAAACAUAGAAAAUAGGUGCAGGAGGAGGCCAUUCGGCCCUUCGAGCAAACACUGCCAUUCAUUGUGAUCAUGGCUGAUCGUCCCCAAUCAAUAACCCGUGCCCGCCUUCUCCCCAUAUCCCUUGAUUCCACUAGCCCCUAGAGCUCUAUCUAACUCUCUCUUAAAUCCAUCCAGUGAUUUGGCCUCCACUGGCCUCUGUGGCAGGGAAUUCCACAAAUUCACAACUCUCUGGGUGAAAAUUGUUUUUUCUCAUCUUGUCCUAAUUUAGACUGUGGCCCCUGGUUCUGGACACUCGCCCAACAUUGGGAACAUUUUUCCUGCAUCAGUAUUUAUGAAAUCUUAAAUGAUAAACAUAAUAUAUUUAUUUUACAUAUCUACACAUUUUCGUUUUACUUAUACAGUGAUUUACUUAACUUACAAACCUAAUCUGACUACUGGUUUACGGAUCCUGCCUGAUCGUCUAAUAGUAAUAGGUGUAACAAGUUUAGGUGUUUGACUCAAUUGUUGGCUAGUUUGGCUCUGUUUUAGUACCUGACUUUGACCGGAGGAAUCUGUUUCUUUGUCUGUAGUAACUGAACUUUGUGUUUCAAUCACAGUGGUCUCUUCCAACUCACUUUCAGAUACAAACUCAGGAAUUAGGACUUCAUGCUCAGUUUUUGGCCCAUCUUUGGCUGGAAUCAUUUGAUCAACAUGAACACUUUUGAUCCUAUCUCCAACUUCAAUUAAGUAUCUUUUUCUUCCACACACUUCCACUAUUUUCCCAACAUCCCAUUUGUCUCGACUGGACUUGUUGGGGGGACUGAGAACACAAACCUGCUCAUCUGGCUUGAAGUACCUCUCCUUUUUGUGGGAGUCAAAAUUGCGUUUUUGACUUAACUGUUUUUGCUCAACUCAAGGCCAAAUUGGGUUGAACUGGACAGGUGUAUUCUUAGCCUUCUCUUCAUCAACAGUUCUGCUGAUUCUGUCUGUCUGCAAUGUCUGAACAAUCUUCAGGAACAAAUCCUUCUCGAACAGAUCAUUCCAUGGAUGGAACCCGGAAAAUGGUAUUUCUAAAAGUAAUAAAAGCAAAAAGAUUCGGCCAGUGAUCUUACGAGGAGGUAACUGGAGCAAUUCAGAAGUGGCACCUGUAACCUGCACUUAGAUCUUCAGUUACACUGCAAACAGGCCUCCCCUAUCCUGCUCAGAAAUGGAUAUGACGCACCUGCUGCCUACCCUGUGCAUCUCAUGAAACUACAUUUGAAAUGUAUGUAUACGGCACAGGGAUUUCAAGAAACUACACUGCAAACUUAGACACAUUGUUUUCAACCAAAGUUCAAGCCUCUAAUAAAAAGGGGUUAGUUUGGUUAAUAUUUCACUGUGAGCUUGCCGUUCAGGAAGUCUGUGAGGCAGAAAGUCACCAAGGUCUUGCUGGGUGAUGAAUGAUUGGUUUAGGUCUCAGUUCCACUCGAUCGUCCCAGCAGUCAGGCAGCAUUGAUGGGAAAUGUGUUUCCAAAAGAACUAAGAAGAGAAAUACAGAAAGGCAGUACGUAAUUUACCAAACUGGUUAUUAAAUACUUGUAUUGUAUUGUAUUGUAUUCAAAUUUAUUGUCAUUGUCUCAAUUCGAGACAAUGAAAUGAAUUUCCCUUUACAGUCAGUUUCAUAAAAAUAAAUAAAUAAUAAAACAUAUUAAAAAUAAAAUAGAAUUUGUAAAAAAAAAGCACAAACACAGAAAGUCCACGACACAACAUAACACAAUGGCACCAAGGUGAGGAAGGCACCAUAAUCCAGCCAGCCUCCCCUCCGAUCUUCCCAGAUGUUCACCCGUGGUCGGGGCUUUCCGAGCACCCGCAGUCGCCGCCCCGAGCGGCCCGAUGCUCAGGCCCUCUUGCCGGGCUGAUGGAACGCCGACGCCGAACCCCGACGGUGAAAAUCCUCCUCAGCGGCCCGGACCUCCCGAUCAGCCGCCUCCCACCGGAGUCCGCAGUUCCCGAGUCUUUCUGUGAGGCAGAAGACUUGUAACAGAGGUACAACAGAGGAACCUUAUAGAAACUUACAAAAUUCUUAAGGGGUUGGACAGGCUAGAUGCAGGAAGAUUGUUCCUAAUGUUGGGGAAGUCCAGAACAAGGGGUCACAGUUUAAGGAUAAGGGGGAAAUCUUUUAGGACCGAGAUGAGAAAAACAUUUUUCACACAGAGAGUGGUGAAACUGUGGAAUUCUCUGCCACAGAAGGUAGUUGAGGCCAAUUCAUUGGCUAUAUUUAAGAGGGAGUUAGAUGUGGCCCUUGUGGCUAAAGGGAUCAGGGGGUAUGGAGAGAAGGCAGGUACAGGAUACUGAGUUGUAUGAUCAGCCAUGAUCAUAUUGAAUGGCGGUUCAGGCUCGAAGGGCUGAAUGGCCUACUCCUGCACCUAUUUUCUAUGUUUCUAUGUACAAUUCUGCGCUGUUUAGUUCAGUUUAAAGAUACAGAAUGGAAACACGACAUUCAGCCCACCAUGUCCACACUGACAAUGAUCACCCAUUCAGACUAGUUCUAUGCUAUCCCACUUUCACAUCCAAUCCCUACAUGCUGGGAGCAAUUUUACAGAAGCCAAUUAACUUAUAAACCCACACGUCUUUGGUACGUGGGAGGAAACUGGAGCACUCGGAGGAAACCCACGCGGUCAAAGGGAGAACAUGCAAACUCCACACAGACUGCACCUAAGGCCAGCGUCCAGGGUGUCUGGCGGUGUGAGGCAACAACUCUACCCGCUGCACCAUCAUGCCAUUGAUGCAGUUGAAAAACAUCAGGGAAAGGUGUAAAAUGUUGGCAGCAUGAAACAGACGUUUAGUGCUGUUAUACAAAUUUAAUAAUGGAAAAGUGGAACCUCUGUGGGUCUGGGAUGGUCCAUAUAUCUAGGAACAUAGUCAAAAAUUACAGCUUAUUGACUGGUUGCAUCACGGCCUGGUUCUGCAACUCAAAUGCCCAGGAAUGAAGAUUGCAAAAAGUGGUAAACACUGCCCAGUCCGUCACGAUUGCUGACCUCCCCACCAUUGAUGGAAUCUACAGGAGUUGCUGCCUCAAAAAGGCAAUCAGCAUCAACAGAGACCUGCACCAAGCUCUCAUUUCAAUCCUCCCAUUGGGAAGUAGGUGUAGGAGCCUGAAAACUGUAAUGUCCAGGUUUAGGAGCAUCUUCUUCCCAACAAACAUCAGGCUAUUAAACUCGUCAACCUCUAAAUAAGCUACAAACUACAUAGACAUAGGAGGCAUUGUUUUUGUCUUUGCACUAUUAUUGUUUUUUCGAUAUAUACUGAACUAUUUUCGUUGUUUAUUGUGUUUACAGAGUACUAUGUUUCACACCUGUGAUGCUGCUGCAAGUAAGAAUAAGUAAGAAUUUCAUUUUUCCUUCUCGGGACAUAUGACAAUGAAACACUCUUGAGUCUUACAAUCCAUACAAUAAAUACCCUCACCACAGUUCCUGCAGUUGUGAUAAGUCAAGGGUGUUUAAUGAUCAUAUGUACCAACAAUGGAAGAAUGAAAUUCUCCUCGGAGAUUUACGGUAAUGGCCACUCGUCGGUACUCGGGGCUCUCGUGGACAUUUUUCAACAUGUUGAAAAAUCUUCACGAAUCUACCCGAGCUUACCUGCCGUUAGCGAGUCUUCCCGAGUAUCUGCUGUUAGCGUUACGAGCUGCUAAGAGACGUCCCCGAGCUCCGACGUACCCGCUGCGUUCAUUUUCCGUGCUUACCACGAGUUUGAUUUUUUUCAAACUCGGGAGAGCUCUUGGAAUGAACUCGUACCGUGGGACAGGGCUAUUACAGACCUGUGAACACCAUAACAUGCAGACAAUAUAUUAUAAUUAAACUAAUAACCAUAAUACUAGGUCACCACAAUAGUGCAAAAACCGAAGUCUGUAGCGCAACCAAAGACACAGUUCAAGGAAGAUCACAUGGUGAAAGUCUGCAAAUGUCUUUAAUUAACAUAGAACUUAGAACUAUACAGCACAGAAACAGAUCAUUCAGCCCAGAAUGGCCAUGCUGAACAUGUUGCUAAAUUAGUCAUGUGCCUGUCUAAAUGCCUCUUAAAAUGUACAUGAUAUCAUCAGGCUUUUCAAGCUCGUGUUGAUGCAGUCAUUGGUCUUAAACCUGCUUAUAAACCACGGAUGAAGCCUGCCCACCGAGUUACUCCAGCAUUUGUUUAUUUUUGUAAACCAGCACCUGCAGUUCCUUGUGAAUAAAUUUGCUGAUAAUUCAAGUGUUUCCACAUCUAUUUUGUACCAGAGAUGAUUGUUGAGAUAUUCUCAGGAAUUAACUUUUGAUUCCAAGGCCUGGAAAUUCAAGUUGCAGUGAAGCUGUGGUGUGAUCCCUGUAAUCCAUGCAAUCCUCACCUGAGACGGGGUCUGAUACAAUAUUGUGACUGGGCCACCUGGGUGGGGAAAAACACCAGGAAAUAAAUAUCCUGCCUCAACCCAUGGAUGGCUUUACAGAGCACAACUAAAACUCCAGUUCCCCACUGCCAGAUAACACGCACCUGGCCUCAGAUUCUGCCAGCUGAAUGAACCAUUUGUAUGGACGGGUAAGACUAGAAAAGAAUACUGACUCCAUUACUUAUCUCAGAAGCAAGAAACCUGACCAAGUGGACCAUUGGAAACGAAAAUGUCACACAAAAUAUGCAACUUGGUAAUUCUCUAGAAGUGUUGCUUCGUAGAUGAAAAGAGAGUGCAUCAGGUGAAGAUCAUAUUUUUAUGGCAAUGUUUGUUGUAGUGUUAGUCCGUGAACCAACAGUGAUCAAUAUCACAAUUGCGAAUGAGAGAUAAGAGUGUAAAAUGAAGUCUAGAAGCCAAUAAAAACUCUCAGCACAAUCCCUACAGUUGAGUCAAGCAUCAAGAGGGUUUAAUUGUUGUAUGCACAAUGGAACAACAAAUGUCUUACUUGCUGCAGUUUAAUAGUUCCAUGAAUGCAAUAUACUCAGAUGAAUAUAUAAUAAUAAAAAAUAGGAUAAAUUAAUGACUGUAAGACUAGUGCAAAAACAAAGUCUAUGGUGUAACCAAAGUCACAGCAAAAGAAGAUUGCACGAUAAAGGCCUGCAAAUGCCUUUAAUUGAUCCAUCAUUAAUGAUAUAUCCAUUAAAUCCCCACUAUAUCUCCUAAUCAUUGCAUGACACUGCUCUAUUUACUCUGACAUCGGAUACUCUGUAAAUAUAUGAUAUUUUAAUUUUAAAGUAUUUGAAGAUUUCAGUUGAUGUUGGUAGCAGCUUAUUUUCAUGCUUCUUUCCCCUUCUCAGUAUGGACAAUUUCAAUUUCUGAGUUCCAUAUUACGCAUUUACUCCCCAUCUUUCCCCACCCCACUGUCCUCCUGCAGCCAUAUCCCUCCUUCUGGCUUUCCAUUUCACUCAACUCUUCUCUCCUUAACUGACAACCUUGCCUCCUUUUCACCUUUGCCUUUGUCAUUUGCUCCCACCGAACUGCCAAUCAAACUCUUGUCACCUGAAUCCACCUUUUGGGGCCUCGACCCAUAACGUUAUCCGUUCCUUCUCUCCAGAGAUACUGCCUGUCCCGCUGAGUUACUCCAG